AGCGAACGCUGGCGGCAGGCCUAACACAUGCAAGUCGAACGAACCCUUCGGGGUUAGUGGCGGACGGGUGAGUAACACGUGGGAACGUGCCUUUAGGUUCGGAAUAACUCAGGGAAACUUGUGCUAAUACCGAAUGUGCCCUUCGGGGGAAAGAUUUAUCGCCUUUAGAGCGGCCCGCGUCUGAUUAGCUAGUUGGUGAGGUAAUGGCUCACCAAGGCUACGAUCAGUAGAUGGUCUGAGAGGAUGACCAGCCACAUUAGGACUGAGACACGGCCCAAACUCCUACGGGAGGCAGCAGUGGGGAAUCUUGCGCAAUGGGCGAAAGCCUGACGCAGCCAUGCCGCGUGGAUGAUGAAGGUCUUAGGAUUGUAAAAUCCUUUCACCGGUGAAGAUAAUGACUGUAGCCGGAGAAGAAGCCCCGGCUAACUUCGUGCCAGCAGCCGCAGUAACAC
rnacentral:rRNA from 1 species